rnacentral:rRNA from 1 species
GACGAACGCUGGCGGCGUUCCUAAUACAUGCAAGUUGAGCGCUGAAGGUUGGUACUUGUACCAACUGGAUGAGCAGCGAACGGGUGAGUAACGCGUGGGGAAUCUGCCUUUGAGCGGGGGACAACAUUUGGAAACGAAUGCUAAUACCGCAUAAAAACUUUAAACACAAGUUUUAAGUUUGAAAGAUGCAAUUGCAUCACUCAAAGAUGAUCCCGCGUUGUAUUAGCUAGUUGGUGAGGUAAAGGCUCACCAAGGCGAUGAUACAUAGCCGACCUGAGAGGGUGAUCGGCCACAUUGGGACUGAGACACGGCCCAAACUCCUACGGGAGGCAGCAGUAGGGAAUCUUCGGCAAUGGACGAAAGUCUGACCGAGCAACGCCGCGUGAGUGAAGAAGGUUUUCGGAUCGUAAAACUCUGUUGGUAGAGAAGAACGUUGGUGAGAGUGGAAAGCUCAUCAAGUGACGGUAACUACCCAGAAAGGGACGGCUAACUACGUG